GGGAUAACCUUGCGAAAGUAAGACUAAUACCCAAUGAUAUCUCUAGAAGACAUCUGAAAGAGAUUAAAGAUUUAUCGGUGAUGGAUGGGGAUGCGUCUGAUUAGCUUGUUGGCGGGGUAACGGCCCACCAAGGCGACGAUCAGUGGGGGUUCUGAGAGGAAGGUCCCCCACAUUGGAACUGAGACACGGUCCAAACUCCUACGGGAGGCAGCAGUGAGGAAUAUUGGUCAAUGGGCGAGAGCCUGAACCAGCCAAGUAGCGUGCAGGAUGACGGCCCUAUGGGUUGUAAACUGCUUUUAUAAGGGAAUAAAGUGAGUCUCGUGAGACUUUUUGCAUGUACCUUAUGAAUAAGGACCGGCUAAUUCCGUGCCAGCAGCCGCGGUAAUACGGAAGGUCCGGGCGUUAUCCGGAUUUAUUGGGUUUAAAGGGAGCGUAGGCCGGAGAUUAAGCGUGUUGUGAAAUGUAGACGCUCAACGUCUGCACUGCAGCGCGAACUGGUUUCCUUGAGUACGCACAAAGUGGGCGGAAUUCGUGGUGUAGCGGUGAAAUGCUUAGAUAUCACGAAGAACUCCGAUUGCGAAGGCAGCUCACUGGAGCGCAACUGACGCUGAAGCUCGAAAGUGCGGGUGUCGAACAGGAUUAGAUACCCUGGUAGUCCGCACGGUAA
rnacentral:rRNA from 1 species